rnacentral:misc_RNA from 1 species
UUGAGAUCUGGGACAAUUGUUUCAUAUCAAGUUGAGAGACCAACCAGCAGCUGAGCUCCAUCUCACCAUUGCUUCGGACCUAAAGAUUCUAGGCACAUCUGACCAACUUCUCAAGUGCAAAUACAAAGGCCAAUUGCAGAUAAAACCACAGCAGAUUCACUUUGCUCCAAAACUCCAAAACACAAUCAUAAUAUCGCAUGGAUUUUACAUAUCUUAAAUCUACAAAAGUCAGCUGCAUUGUUCCCCCCUGGAAGUUCUCUCACGCCAUCACCACCAAUCACACACAAGAAAGACUGAGGAGGGAUCACACAGAUAAAGAUCUGAUCGAAAAACGGGUGCUUUGGUCAGAGUGUUCCUUGAUCCGCCACCGACUAGCGUGUGAAGGCGUAGAAGACGGUGCCGAUGUAGAUGAGCAUGGCGGAAGGGACGAGGGUGACGAGCGGCACGACGGCGGCCCAGGCGGCGGCCCCGCCGGCGCCGCACCCGAGUCGCCCGAGCUUCACCUGCACCACGUUGACGAGGGCCAUCAUCAGGAAGCCGCAUCCGGCGACGGACCCCACGGCGGACGCGAGGAUCCCGACGCGGAGCGCCGCGCGGUUGAUCCGCGCGGUGCGGCCGCCGGCGGCGGAGGCGGAGGCGGAGGC